GAACGUAUACCAUAGUGGUUACAGCGCUUGGAUGGUUUCCAAGAGGCGAGGAUUCAAGUCUCGCUACGUUUA
rnacentral:tRNA from 1 species